UCUUCUACAUUCUAAUGGAUAGGACAGAAGUCUUUUAAACCUUUGGUAUAGGUUCAAAUCCUAUUGGACGCA
rnacentral:tRNA from 1 species